rnacentral:rRNA from 1 species
AGUGAACGCUGGCGGUAGGCCUAACACAUGCAAGUCGAACGGCAGCACAGUAAGAGCUUGCUCUUACGGGUGGCGAGUGGCGGACGGGUGAGGAAUACAUCGGAAUCUACUUUUUCGUGGGGGAUAACGUAGGGAAACUUACGCUAAUACCGCAUACGACCUACGGGUGAAAGCAGGGGAUCUUCGGACCUUGCGCGAUUGAAUGAGCCGAUGUCGGAUUAGCUAGUUGGCGGGGUAAAGGCCCACCAAGGCGACGAUCCGUAGCUGGUCUGAGAGGAUGAUCAGCCACACUGGAACUGAGACACGGUCCAGACUCCUACGGGAGGCAGCAGUGGGGAAUAUUGGACAAUGGGCGCAAGCCUGAUCCAGCCAUGCCGCGUGGGUGAAGAAGGCCUUCGGGUCGUAAAGCCCUUUUGUUGGGAAAGAAAAGCAGCAGGUGAAUACCCCGCUGUUCUGACGGUACCCAAAGAAUAAGCACCGGCUAACUUCGUG